GACAGUGUAGCUCAGUGGUAAAGCAUGUAAUAGUAAGUGCAAAGCCCUGGGUUCAAUCCCCAGCACCA
rnacentral:tRNA from 1 species